rnacentral:rRNA from 1 species
CUUGACAUCCAGCGAACUUUCCAGAGAUGGAUUGGUGCCUUCGGGAACGCUGAGACAGGUGCUGCAUGGCUGUCGUCAGCUCGUGUUGUGAAAUGUUGGGUUAAGUCCCCGNAACGAGCGCAACCCUUAUCCUUUGUUGCCAGCGAUUCGGUCGGGAACUCAAAGGAGACUGCCGGUGAUAAACCGGAGGAAGGUGGGGAUGACGUCAAGUCAUCAUGGCCCUUACGAGUAGGGCUACACACGUGCUACAAUGGCGCAUACAAAGAGAAGCGACCUCGCGAGAGCAAGCGGACCUCAUAAAGUGCGUCGUAGUCCGGAUCGGAGUCUGCAACUCGACUCCGUGAAGUCGGAAUCGCUAGUAAUCGUGGAUCAGAAUGCCACGGUGAAUACGUUCCCGGGCCUUGUACACACCGCCCGUCACACCAUGGGAGUGGGUUGCAAAAGAAGUAGGUAGCUUAACCUUCGGGAGGGCGCUUACCACUUUGUGAUUCAUGACUGGGGUGAAGUCGUAACAAGGUAAGCGUAGCGAG